UGGGGAAUAUUGCGCAAUGGGCGAAAGCCUGACGCAGCGACGCCGCGUGAGGGAUGAAGGUUUUCGGAUCGUAAACCUCUGUCAGAAGGGAAGAAACCGCACUGUGCUAAUCAGCAGUGCCUUGACGGUACCUUCAAAGGAAGCACCGGCUAACUCCGUGCCAGCAGCCGCGGUAAUACGGAGGGUGCAAGCGUUAAUCGGAAUUACUGGGCGUAAAGCGCACGUAGGCUGCUUUGUAAGUCAGGGGUGAAAUCCCACGGCUCAACCGUGGAACUGCCUUUGAUACUGCUUAGCUUGAAUCCGGGAGAGGGUGGCGGAAUUCCAGGUGUAGGAGUGAAAUCCGUAGAUAUCUGGAGGAACAUCAGUGGCGAAGGCGGCCACCUGGGCCGGUAUUGACGCUGAGGUGCGAAAGCGUGGGGAGCAAACAGG
rnacentral:rRNA from 1 species